rnacentral:pre_miRNA from 1 species
UGGAGUGUGACAAUGGUGUUUGUGUCUGUCAUGUUCAAACGCCAUUGUCACACUAAUUC